AAAAAUAAAAAGAAAUCUUAAAGAAAUAACAAAGAAGAUAUAGGUAGGCACAUCCCAUAUCACUAUUGCAUUGUUAAAUGUCAUAGCAUAUAGAUGUAUUUUAUACACGAGUAUAAGUCCCGAUGAUAGGACUUUCUGAAGAAUCUUGCGAAGGUGAGUUUUCUUCAAAAAAUUUCCUAGGUGAAAAGAUACUCCUGGGUCCCACUAGUACGAUGGGAGGGUUCGGAG
rnacentral:lncRNA from 1 species